rnacentral:lncRNA from 1 species
AAGUUUUGGAAAUGGCUCAAGUUUGUGCAAUAAGAAGAUUUUAAUUUUCUAUUUUUUCUCUUUUAAACUUCUUGAUUGCCUUUGCUUGGAAUGCCUGUGAGAAAGUACCCAGCUCAGGCUGAAAUUUGCUUUGCAAUACAAAUAACAACACAAACUGACAAAGACAAAAAAAAAAAAAAGCAAACUAUUUUAUUUAUUUCAAUAUUUAAAAGAAAAAAGUGCUGCCAUUGCACAGUCUUUUGGUUUAAAAUGCCGUCAACUUCAAAGGUUAAAAAAAAAAAGCCAUUCUGUGAAGACCUGAACAAGAGUGCUACUGUAAAAUAAAGUCGUCAUGGUGACGCUAAGGAGAAAUACCCCACAUUUUUAAUAAGAAAAUAAAGAUCAACUCUGCUCUCCCAGGCUUUUGAGAAAGCCAUUCGUGUAUGUGCUUUAGGUUUUUUGUUUGUUUGUUUGUUUGUUUUAAUUUCUGUGAGUUGGAUGUGGUAAGUGAGGAGUGGCCAGUUCUUCCAAAGUCCGCUGAAAAGUAUUGUUGACAUUAAGUAAUUAUGUGUUAGGAUCUGAUUGGAAUAAACUAGCCCCAAACCAGCAGUGUGUCCCCUCCCAACUGCCCCUCACCUCAGAUGAAGCCCAUUGAUCUAAAUGUAAAACUACAGCCUGUCUAUCUUGUCUUAUGAGGCCUGAUUCAGGUAGAAAUUCUAGCCACUGAUUGAAUGAAUUACUGCAAAGCUCAACAGCUCCAAACAUAAAUGAUUUUGUGUAGAAUAAAUGAACAAAUAAACAAACUACUACAACCAAACAGCCAGGAGUAAGCAGUGGCCAAGGGGACAUGGCUCAGUUAGCUGACAGCUGCUCAGGUUGGCCAAGAGAGCGCUACUGAGCAGGUUUCAGAGGUCUGAGAGUCUAGACUUGCUCAAGAGACUAAGGAGUUCAUUGGAAGAUAAGAAACUUGAGACUCAUUUGUAGGGAGAAAUAGGAAGGCGAGCAUUCUCUGUGUGUCCUUUAUGGCUGUUAUGGCGGAUGAAGUGGGAUUCGGCAUUGUAUGUUUGACCUAGCCCAGGAGGACAGCCAACUGUCUGGGCUUCUGGGUUCUACCUCUUGGCUUCCACUUAGCUUGUCUAUUACAUGUGCAGAGCAGAGUCAUGGAUGGCCAUAGAUAUGACUUAAGGCUGCAAAGUCUCGUCAGCAAAAGUCCUUGAGCCACAGUAUUAUUGAAAUGUCCCAGCCUGAGAAUAAAUUUCAUCUACCAUUGAAAGGGAAGGGUAGACAGGCAGACUUUCCAUUAGACCCUUCAGGUUUCCCACUCAAGAGAAGGGGGAUGUCACCAAGAGUGUCUUCUUAUCAUUUCCUGAUAGAAAAUGUUCCAUGUCAAAAAUGUUAAUUAUAAUAAUAAUCUGUUCUCCAAUCCACACUCACAAGUUAUGACUGUGAUAAAGCUUUGCAAUGAUGUAGGGUUCGUGUGACGUUUGUGUAAGUUUCUGUUAAAUAAAAGACUGUUUCCAAUAGUCUUAUAACAUCUGUAAGAUUUGCUUAUCAACCUCGUCCUGCAGAAGUGACUUACAACAUGGUGUGGAAAGAACUGCAAGGACUCAGCUCCCUUGCCUGCCCAAGAUUUGUUUUAUUUAGAGAUGCAUUCUGGGACAGCAGUUGCCACUGGCUCGAAUGCCAGGUAGGGGCAUCAGAAGCGAGCGAUGCCUGGUGUUGAUGCUACCAUCUGCUCUCAGUUCAGAGUCGCGGUCACCCAUCCCUCCAUCACCAGCACCAUUUACCAUUCCUUUCAUGGUCAAAGCAGAAGUAUCGAAAUCCUGGUUAUGGGUAAAAGCAGAGCAUACCUGUUCAAUGUUGCUAUUGUACGGCUGCUAAGAAGUUUUGCACAAAUAUGAGAGGUUGAGCCUAUGCUUGGAAGAAAAUUUGAGGUUGCCAUUUUUUUAUUGCCCGAAAGCUACUGUUAGGUUAGGCUCCCCAGGCUGGCAGCUGUGCAAGCUCUAAGGUGGACCCCUUGGGGUAGAGUUUUCCUAAAAGUUCAAAUGGAUGCUAUCUGAAGGGUCAUUUAGGUUAGCCUGUCAAGUCAGGUGUUUCCGUUUGAGCUUUGGACCUGUCCCCAGGGGGGCCAGGUGGAGCUGGAGUGUGACAUUUCAGAGCUGUCGCCAUUGCGUUUUGCCUUCUCUUAGAAUGAAGGAUACAUGCAACUUCCAUUUUGAACUUAUGUUUUCUAGGUACUAUAAAAGAGGUUGAUUCCCACUCCUAAUAUUUCAUGGUCCUUUAUAUCCCUAUCUCCCCUUUUGGAUUUUGGACUUUAUUUUUGUAUGUGUGUGUACAUGCAUGUAUUCAUGUGUGCAUGUAUGUGCAUGUGUGUGUGGACUAGACGUUGGGGUUGAUGCUGUAUGUUUUCCUUUAUCAUCUCCACCUGAGUUUUUGAGACUCGAUCUCUUGCUGUGCUGUGCCCAGAUCUUGACAACUGUGAGUGCUAGGGAUCCGAUUGUCUUUGUCCCUCUCCCCACUAGCACUAGGAUUAUAGAUGUGUUGCUGACGCUCCUGCCUGGCUUUUCAAGUGCAUGCUGGGAUCUGAACUCAGGUUCUUAUGCUUGCAUGGCAAAACACUACCCAACUGAGCCAUCUUCCUGGCCCCUCCCCCCAUACAUUGUGAUCAAAAGGUAAAGCUUACUACUUUAGCCACUAAGUGUAUAGUUCUAUGGCAAAAGUACAUUCAUGUCAUUGAGGGACCAUCUCCACCCCAUCUCUAGACCUAUUUCAUCUCCAACUGAAACACUCCCUUUGAACAUCAACUUUUUCUCCUCCCCAGCCCCCUGGAUACAGGGAUGACAAGACUGUGUGGUGCCAUCAUUUUGUUCUGUUACCCUGUGAAUCUGACUACCUCAUAUAUCUCAAAUAAACGGACUCAUGC